CUUCCCCACCCCAAGCAUCAAUGUCAGUUCCUGAGUGGGAGAGGGGGGAAGUGUGGGGAGCUCAGCGCAGUGCAGGUAUGGUGGUGGGGCUAUUCGGAUGCUCCUGCUGGCAAACCCGCACUGCGCUGAGCCAACCCAUGCCUCGCCCUCCUCUCUCUCAGGAACUGGCAUGGAUGCUUGGCACUGGGAA